rnacentral:rRNA from 1 species
GCCUAACACAUGCAAGUCGAACGGCAGCACGGGAGCUUGCUCCUGGUGGCGAGUGGCGAACGGGUGAGUAAUGUAUCGGAACGUACCCAGUCGUGGGGGAUAACUCUCCGAAAGGAGAGCUAAUACCGCAUACGUCCUGAGGGAGAAAGCGGGGGACCUGCAAGGGCCCCGCGCGAUUGGAGCGGCCGAUAUCGGAUUAGCUAGUUGGUAGGGUAAAGGCCUACCAAGGCGACGAUCCGUAGCGGGUCUGAGAGGACGACCCGCCACACUGGAACUGAGACACGGUCCAGACUCCUACGGGAGGCAGCAGUGGGGAAUUUUGGACAAUGGGGGCAACCCUGAUCCAGCCAUUCCGCGUGAGUGAAGAAGGCCUUCGGGUUGUAAAGCUCUUUCAGCAGGAACGAAACGGUCGGCUUUAAUAAAGUUGGCUAAUGACGGUACCUGCAGAAGAAGCACCGGCUAACUACGUGCCAGCAGCCGCGGUAAUAC